rnacentral:rRNA from 1 species
GUCUAUGGCCAUACCACCCUGAACGCGCCUGAUCUCAUCUGAUCUCGGAAGCUAAGCAGGGUCGGGCCUGGUUAGUACUUGGAUGGGAGAAGUAAAAAUGGUCAGAGUUA